CCUACGGGAGGCAGCAGUGGGGAAUAUUGGACAAUGGGGGCAACCCUGAUCCAGCCAUGCCGCGUGUGUGAAGAAGGCCCUCGGGUUGUAAAGCACUUUCAGUGAGGAAGAACGCCUGGUGGUUAAUACCCAUCAGGAAAGACAUCACUCACAGAAGAAGCACCGGCUAACUCCGUGCCAGCAGCCGCGGUAAUACGGAGGGUGCGAGCGUUAAUCGGAAUUACUGGGCGUAAAGCGCGCGUAGGUGGCUUGAUAAGCCGGUUGUGAAAGCCCCGGGCUCAACCUGGGAACGGCAUCCGGAACUGUCAAGCUAGAGAGCAGGAGAGGAAGGUAGAAUUCCCGGUGUAGCGGUGAAAUGCGUAGAGAUCGGGAGGAAUACCAGUGGCGAAGGCGGCCUUCUGGACUGACACUGACACUGAGGUGCGAAAGCGUGGGUAGCAAACAGGAUUAGAUACCCUGGUAGUC
rnacentral:rRNA from 1 species